rnacentral:rRNA from 1 species
ACUCCUACGGGAGGCAUCAGUGGGGAAUUCUGGACAAUGGGCGAAAGCCUGAUCCAGCCAUGCCGCGUGAGUGAAGAAGGCCUUCGGGUUGUAAAGCUCUUUCGGCUGGGAAGAAAUCGCACAGGCUAAUACUCUGUGUGGAUGACGGUACCAGCACAAGAAGCACCGGCUAACUACGUGCCAGCAGCCGCGGUAAUAC